GUGGCUGUAGUUCAAAAGUAGAACAUCUGUUUGUGGAACAGAGAGUAGCGGGAGCGUUACCCGUCAGCCACC
rnacentral:tRNA from 1 species